rnacentral:rRNA from 1 species
GGAGGAUCCGAGCGUUAUCCGGAUUUAUUGGGUUUAAAGGGAGCGUAGAUGGAUAUUUAAGUCAGUUGUGAAAGUUUGCGGCUCAACCGUAAAAUUGCAGUUGAUACUGGAUAUCUUGAGUGCAGUUGAGGCANGCGGAAUUCGUGGUGUAGCGGUGAAAUGCUUANAUAUCACGAANAACUCCGUUUGCNAAGGCAGCCUGCUAANCUGCAACUGACAUUGAGG